GCCCUACGGGGCGCACCAGGCGCGAAAACUCCGCAAUGCGGGAAACCGUGACGGGGUUACCCCGAGUGCUCCCCUUGUGGGAGCUUUUCCCCGCUGUAAAAAGGCGGGGGAAUAAGCGGGGGGCAAGUCUGGCGUCGGCCGCCGCGGUAAUACCAGCCCCGCGAGUGGUCGGGGUGUUUAUUGGGCCUAAAGCGGCCGUAGCCGGCCCGGUAAGUCCUCCCUGAAAGCCCCAGGCUCAACCUGGGGAGCGGGAGGAUACUACCGGGCUAGAGGGCGGGAGAGGCCGAGGGUACUCCCGGGGUAGGGGCGAAAUCCUGUAAUCCCGGGAGGACCACCAGUGGCGAAGGCGCUCGGCUGGAACGCGCCUGACGGUGAGGGCCGAAAGCCGGGGGAGCGAACCGGAUUAGAUACCCGGGUAGUCCCGGCUGUAAACGAUGCGGGCCAGGUGUUAGGCGGGCGGGAGAGCCUGCCUAGUACCGCAGGGAAGCCGUUAAGCUCGCCGCCUGGGGAGUACGGCCGCAAGGCUGAAACUUAAAGGAAUUGGCGGGGGAGCACACAAGGGGUGGAGCCUGCGGCUUAAUUGGAUUCAACGCCGGG
rnacentral:rRNA from 1 species